rnacentral:rRNA from 1 species
GACGAACGCUGGCGGCGUGCUUAACACAUGCAAGUCGAGCGAUGAAGUUCCUUCGGGAAUGGAUUAGCGGCGGACGGGUGAGUAACACGUGGGUAACCUGCCUCAUAGAGGGGAAUAGCCUUCCGAAAGGAAGAUUAAUACCGCACAAGAUUGUAGUAUCGCAUGAUACAGCAAUUAAAGGAGCAAUCCGCUAUGAGAUGAACCCGCGUCGCAUUAGCUAGUUGGUGAGGUAACGGCUCACCAAGGCGACGAUGCGUAGCCGACCUGAGAGGGUGAUCGGCCACAUUGGGACUGAGACACGGCCCAGACUCCUACGGGAGGCAGCAGUGGGGAAUAUUGCACAAUGGGGGAAACCCUGAUGCAGCAACGCCGCGUGAGUGAUGACGGUCUUCGGAUUGUAAAGCUCUGUCUUCAGGGACGAUAAUGACGGUACCUGAGGAGGAAGCCACGGCUAACUACGUGCCAGCCGCCGCGGUAA